rnacentral:rRNA from 1 species
AUUGAACGCUGGCGGCAGGCCUAACACAUGCAAGUCGAGCGAGCGGCGGACGGGUGAGUAAUGUCUGGGAAACUGCCUGAUGGAGGGGGAUAACUACUGGAAACGGUAGCUAAUACCGCAUACCAUCAGAUGUGCCCAGAUGGGAUUAGCUAGUAGGUGGGGUAAUGGCUCACCUAGGCGACGAUCCCUAGCUGGUCUGAGAGGAUGACCAGACACACUGAAACGUAGCCAGGGUCCAGACUCCUAGGGUAGGCAGCAGUGGGGAAUAUUGCACAGUGGGCGCAAGCUUGAUGCAGCAAUGCCGCGUGGGUGAAGAAGGCCUUCGGGUGGUAAAGCACUGUCAGCGGGGAGGCGUUACCCGAAGAAGAAGCACCGGCUAACGCCGUGCCAGCAGCCGCGGUAAUAC